rnacentral:misc_RNA from 1 species
GAUGAAGAACGUAGCGAAAUGCGAUAAGUAAUGUGAAUUGCAGAAUUCAGUGAAUCAUCGAAUCUUUGAACGCACAUUGCGCCCGCUAGUAUUCUGGCGGGCAUGCCUGUCCGAGCGUCAUUUCAACCCUCAAGCCCCCGGGCUUGGUGUUGGGGAUCGGCGAGCCUCCGCGCCCGCCGUCCCCUAAAUCUAGUGGCGGUCUCGCUGUAGCUUCCUCUGCGUAGUAGCACACCUCGCACUGGGAAACAGCGCGGCCACGCCGUUAAACCCCCAACUUCUGAACGUUUGACCUCGGAUCAGGUAGGAAUACCCGCUGAACUUAAGCAUAUCAUAAGCGGAGGA